rnacentral:lncRNA from 10 species
AGGUUUUUGAGCAAAAAACGUAUUUUUAAAUUAAGUAAAAUGGAUUAAAGUGAGUCAGCAAAAGGGAGAAAGAAGGAGGGGAAGUUAAGGACUUCUUCAAAAUCUACCUCAUCAUUUUGGAGCUCUUAGUCCUCAAUUCCAUCAAACACAGUGGUGCGAAGGACAUCUUCCAAAUGGCAGCUCAUUUUACCUUAAUAGUUGGUGUUUCCAGGUAAGUUUCUAGCUUUCUAUCAUGAUAAGUUAAUAUAUCCUAUUUUAUUAUGGUGCCACAAACAAAAGAACUCUGAAAGGCUCAACUCUUACAAAAGGUCCAAAUCCCCUGAAAAGCAUCAAGUAUCAAAAUGCAGCCAGAAAAGAUGGUAUUAAAUGAAAAAAAGGGGCUCCCUU